rnacentral:lncRNA from 1 species
UUUUUUUUAAAGGCACUUGAUGGGUAUGUUCCAGCAUUUCUAUACAGUCUGGAAGUACCCAUCAGAAAAGGGCCCCAUGCAAAUCCCAGGGGUGCCCCCUGCUGGUGAAGACAUAGAAAUGAACCAGUAAAUAUUCCUGCUUCACUUCAGCUUCUUGGAGAUGGACUCUUUGAAUAAAGUUACUGUGGGGAGGCAUAAACAGGCGGACUGAAAGCCUUUCAUUGAUCAAGAGAAGAAGCUGGAGUCUAGAUCAGAGAAUCGACUUGAAUAAAAUUACAUGACUUUUAGUUACUGUUGAAAGCGGCACUCAGGAGACAGGAAUGAUUUCUAGAAGCUCAUACAAAAGAAAAAACUCAUUUGUCUCUCAGAAGAAAAGAAAGUGAAGAAAAAUGAAAAGGGUACCAGAGGUUAGUUAUGAUUUUUACACACACAAAUCCGAAAUAAAUAUUUAAUAUUCUGUGUAAUUAAUGGACUUCCAACUUAGGCUAUGAAGAUAUAGGAGUGAAUUCAUUGUUGAUAGAGAAUAUCACUUGCACAGACAGAAAACAAAAUAUGCUUUAUGAUAUUAAUUCAUUUUGUAUAUAUAUACAUACAAACAUACAUACACAUUGAAAGCACCUAGAAAAUGGAUUAACCUAUGUGGAAGAACUUUCAAGAUCACAAAUUGAUAUACAAUGUAAUAAGUAUUUCCAGUUUUGAGUAAGGAUACAUUCAAUUGAUCACUAUAAGACAAAAAAGGGAAGAAAUCUUCAUUUCUCCUCUUUUUGUGGUGCUCACAGUGUCCAAGAGUCCCAUUGUAGGUCCCAGCACAUAGAGAAAUUCAUAUGUUUUAUGUGCCUAAAAUAAACAGCCACUUGAUACUGCCAUAUUUUGAAGAAUAUGUUAAUCCAGCUUUGUGGGAUUGCAUGGAUCACACUAGCAAACACAUGAAAUCCGUGCAGAUUUGGUUUGAAGUACCUUUUUGCUGUAGCUACACAGUUUCCUCAUUCCACCUUCUUUAUCCCAGGAAAUAUACAAAUGAACUGAUGACUUCAUUGAGUUUCUCAAACUGUUAAGAUGCGAAUCUAAUUUUUAAUAAAGCGAUUAU